rnacentral:rRNA from 1 species
GACGAACGCUGGCGGCGCGCUUAACACAUGCAAGUCGAACGGAAAGGCCUGCUUUCCCUUGUGGAUUGCGGGUACUCGAGUGGCGAACGGGUGAGUAACACGUGAGUGAUCUGCCCCCAACUUGGGUAUAAGCCUGGGAAACUGGGUCUAAUUCCCGAUAGGACUGCAGGGUGGUGCCUGUGGUGGAAAACGAUUUUCUAGUGGUUGGGGAUGAGCUCGCGGCCUAUCAGCUUGUUGGUGGGGUAAUGGCCUACCAAGGCGGCGACGGGGAGCCGGCCUGAGAGGGUGGACCGCCACAUUGGGACUGAGAUACGGCCCAGACUCCUACGGGAGGCAGCAGUGGGGAAUAUUGCACAAUGGGCGGAAGCCUGAUGCAGCGACGCCGCGUGGGGGAUGACGGCCUUCGGGUUGUAAACUCCUUUCGACCGCGAGGAAGCCACCUGGUUGGAAGGGUGGUGACGGUAGUGGUAGAAGAAGCACCGGCUAACUACGUG